rnacentral:rRNA from 1 species
UACAGAGGGUGCAAGCGUUACUCGGAAUUACUGGGCGUAAAGCGUGCGUAGACGGUUAUGUAAGUCAGGUGUGAAAGCCCCGGGCUCAACCUGGGAAUUGCAUUCGAGACUGCAUUGCUGGAGUACGGAAGAGGAAGGCGGAAUUCCCGGUGUAGCGGUGAAAUGCGUAGAUAUCGGGAGGAACAUCAGUGGCGAAGGCGGCCUUCUGGUCCAGUACUGACACUCAAGUGCGAAAGCGUGGGGAGCAAACAGG